AUGGCCCCUCCGCUGCGCCGGCACCACACCCGGCCCCCCACCUGUCGUCCGCCGCCGUGCCUCCACCGCGUGACCUCGCUUCGUCCUCCUCCUGCCCCAACACCUCGUCUACCCGCUCCGCCUCUCCCAGUCUCCCUCCUCGCGCUCUCCUUGCUCUCCGCGUUGCCGUCCUCCUCCCCGCACGGCGCCUCCCUCUCCCUCUCCCUGUCCCGCGCAUCCUCCUCCCAGUACGCUUCCGCAUCCUCGUCCCUCUCCCACGCUUCAUCCCUCUCCUCCUUCCCACCUGCCGCCACUGUCGCCACUGCCACGCUUCGGCUUCUCGCCACCUCUUCCGCCUCCGCCGCCGUCCUUCACCCGUCACUACCCGCCAGAAUCACUCCGGAGUCAGGACCAAUAUUCGGCUUCCCACGUACCGUUCUCUGUUGUCAAGAUUCAUCAGCUCACCCUUGCCCGCGUCCUGUUCGAUGCAAUGCCGCACUCUUUGUUCUUAUGAAAUGCUGCAGUCUGGUGUUCGCCUGGUCCUUCGCGCCUCGCUGCUCUCCUGGUCCUAGGCCCUGUGACUGGGUCACCCUCCGCCUCUCCCACGCGGGCCUCACCUUGCUCACCCUCUGCGACUCAUCCGGCAUGGUCCAGGCGACAGCUCUGCCAGAAUACCUUCAAGCUUACUCUAUUGUGAAUAGGCUGAGAGUGGAAUAA
rnacentral:rRNA from 1 species